GGGAAAUAAUUGUGGUCUGACUGUAUUAUUUUAAAAAUCACAGUUGAGAUUUUUUUAUGUGUGCACCGGUACAGUUUUGCGGGGAAGUGAAAGUUGCCAUGGAAUUUUGUCUUCUUCUAAAAACAAGUGUCUGAUACAUGUAGUUGCAGUCUGUCUUUGGAAGCUGUAGAAAUAACAAGAAAGGGACUGACAUAGUGUUUUGGUAGGGAAAAGUUUGAGUAUGUACAUGUACAGUUGUUUGACCUGUCUGACCCUGUGGCAGUCCAAGCAGAUGUUACCAUUAUGAAAAAUGCAGGAGAAGUGCUACAAGUGUGUUGUCAUGUGAAAUGGAAUUUACCCCAACUGUGCUGCAUGAUGUAUAUUCAAGUGCAAGACAGCCAUGCACCAGCUGUAAACUGAGAUGGACCCAUAUAAUAAAUAUGUGGACUUUCCUAUGUAUUAUCAUCUGUACAGAAUGUGUUCAUGACAAGACUGUAUACAUGUAUUGUUAAAUCAUUUUUAUUUCCAUUAUUGCAUGCAUGUAAGAAGCAAGCAUUUAACAAUUGCAGUCAUAGAAGUGUUAAAAUGUGAUCAAUCUAAUUUAAAGAAACACAUUUAAUUGGACUUUUUAAGUUUCAUAGUAUUUUUGGUGGGGAUUGACCCAGUCAUUCAGCAACUUAUACAGUCUGUGUGUCAUUUCUUGUAUGUUAUAGUUUUCUUAAUAAUACAUUAAAUGUCAAAGUUAUGGUAAGAUGAACUCGUUCAUCACUUGUAGAUUAAUGUUAAAGCAGUUCAACAUUUUACCAUAAGUUAACUAAUAUUCUAUUUAACCAGAGUUGUCACAUAUUUUCAUAUAAAUAUUUGUAUAAUACAGUCUAAUCUAAUCUACAUAUGAUGUACCACAAUUUUUUAGUUAUAUUUUAUGUUGAUAUUUUAUGUUGUUUUCAUGUCUCAACAUAUAAUUACUAACAUCAAAGAAACUUAAGUAUUUUACAAUUUGGUUGGUAUAAAUGGUUGUUUUGUUUAUAUAUUUUUUUCACUCCAGGAGAAUAAAGAAAAAACAUUUCAACAUAUCUCAUCAUUCCAGAUAAGUACACUACAUAAUCAAGAUAAAAGAAAUAAGAACAAUAUAUGUUGGUGGAAUUUUAUUUUCAAAAAUUUGAUAUACAGUCUUUGUAGUAUUUACUUCUUUAGAUAUGUUGGACUGAAAUGGGAAUAACAACAUACUUUAAUUUUUUGUAGUCAUAAGUUAAUAUGGGAAUUAUUAACUUAACUUAACUUAAAAAGAUUUUAUCUCACUGUUAUGCCAUCUGAGCUUUAAUAUUUUUCAACAUUGUCAUUGGCAACAAGGCUCAAAAUUAUUUGUUGUGUAUACCUUGCAUUCAUGUGUGAUAAAUGCUUUUAUGGUAUUCUUUAAUAUAAUUUAUGCUUUUCAUCUUACCAUGGAUUAAAAAAAUAUAAAUUUAUUUGUCUGAAAAUUAAGGUAAAAAUACUGACUGAUUAAA